ACCUAAGAUGCAUCGACAGUUCAUCUUGAGGGUGCUGUAGUUUGACUAUACCAUAACUCGAUCUCUUAGUCAUAUAAAGUCUUGAGGUGUAUAUUGGCUGUAAUACAUUCAUUGUAGGAAUUAGAUUAUAUCAAGAUGGGAUCUAUCAACCUCGAUGGAAGAAAAGUAGUCCCAUGUAGAUCAUGAGAUUGAGUCCUAAAGUCCAUGGCCAUGGCAG
rnacentral:lncRNA from 1 species